rnacentral:tRNA from 1 species
GAGGGGUGGUUUAACCAGCAAGAACUGCUAAUUCCUGCAUCUGAGUCUAGACCCUCAGCCCCCUCA